AAACCAACAGGGAUUGCCCUAGUAACGGCGAGUGAACAGGCAAGAGCUCAGAUUUGAAAGCCUUUUUGGCAUUGUAUUCUGAAGUCAGUUUCCUGAGUAUCGGUGUUUAAGUCUUCUGGAAAGGAGCGCCAUGGAGGGUGAUAGCCCCGUACGACACCUCACUCAUUGUAGGAUUCUGACGUGGAGUCGAGUUGUUUGGGAAUGCAGCUCAAAAGGGUGGUAUGCUCCAUCUAAAGCUAAAUAUCUGUGAGAGACCGAUAGCGAACAAGUACUGUGAAGGAAAGAUGAAAAGAACUUUGAAAAGAGAGUGAAAAAGUACGUGAAAUUGUUGAAAUGGAAGGAUAUGCCGCUAACAAUGUAGAGCCGUGUUUGGGGGGAAGACAAAAGCUGAAG
rnacentral:rRNA from 1 species